GUCAACUAUGCCUAUCUUUAAAGCUUAUGGGUUGGCAAAGUCGUCAAUGUCUGAUUGUGUGUCAGAAAUAAUAUCUGCUAUUCGCACGGUGAGGUCCUUUGGUGGGGAAAAGCGCCAAAUGUCAGCAUUCGGUAAUCAGAUUUUCGCAUAUAAGGCUAGCGGCAUUCAACUGGGCACUUAAAAAUCCAUUAAUGAAUCAGUAACCCGAGUUGCAGUCUAUGUAUCUCUAUUGGCCUUGUAUUGUCUUGGAGGGAACACAGUUAAAGCGGUUAGUUGUGUUCAUCAACAACCAGUGAUUUUAGGAUCUUUUUUAAGUAUUAUUUUCUUAAUUUUCUGCUCACUCUCAGUUGCACUUUUGGGUGUUUGACUGAUAUGAUUGGAGAUAUUAAAUAAUAGCUUUU